CACGUAGGGCGCAAGCGUUGUCCGGAAUCAUUGGGCGUAAAGCGCGUGUAGGCGGCCAGAAAAGUCCGCUGUGAAAACUCGAGGCUCAACUUCGAGCUGUCGGUGGAAACUUUCUGGCUAGAGUCCGGAAGAGGAGAAUGGAAUUCCUGGUGUAGCGGUGAAAUGCGCAGAUAUCAGGAAGAACACCCGUGGCGAAGGCGGUUCUCUGGGACGGUACUGACGCUGGAGACGCGAAAGCGUGGGGAGCGAACAGG
rnacentral:rRNA from 1 species